rnacentral:rRNA from 2 species
GGAUUUAGUAGACAGAAGCUUCGGUGGAAGAUUACUAAUGAGAGUGGCGAACGGGUGAGUAACGCGUGAGCAACCUGCCUAUGACAGUGGGAUAGCCUCGGGAAACCGGGAUUAAUACCGCAUAAAAUCGUAGAAACACACGUUUUAGCGGUCAAAGAUUUAUCGGUCAUAGAUGGGCUCGCGUCUGAUUAGCUAGUUGGUGAGAUAACAGCCCACCAAGGCGACGAUCAGUAGCCGGUCUGAGAGGAUGAACGGCCACAUUGGAACUGAGACACGGUCCAAACUCCUACGGGAGGCAGCAGUGGGGAAUAUUGCACAAUGGGGGAAACCCUGAUGCAGCGACGCCGCGUGAACGAAGAAGGUAUUCGUAUCGUAAAGUUCUGUCCUAUGGGAAGAUAAUGACAGUACCAUAGAAGAAAGCUCCGGCUAAAUACGUGCCAGCAGCCGCGGUAAUACGUAUGGAGCGAGCGUUGUCCGGAAUUAUUGGGCGUAAAGGGUACGCAGGCGGUUUAAUAAGUCGAAUGUUAAAGAUCGGGGCUCAACCCCGUAAAGCAUUGGAAACUGAUAAACUUGAGUAGUGGAGAGGAAAGUGGAAUUCCUAGUGUAGUGGUGAAAUACGUAGAUAUUAGGAGGAAUACCAGUAGCGAAGGCGACUUUCUGGACACAAACUGACGCUGAGGUACGAAAGCGUGGGGAGCAAACAG